AAACCACUUAUAUUGCCAAAAAAAAAAGAAAAAUCCUUUAACAUUCUGUCACCAUGCUGAUUUCUACAAGAGGAUGGAAUCUUCUACCAAAAUGCCAUACAUAUUGAAGAGAAAGGAAACAAAUACUUUGGGGCAGGGAAUCUUUUUAGGGGCAAAGAUAUUAAAUGCAAUACUUCUAUCGGCAUCAGCCAAGUACCAAAGCCAUAACCACUAAACCUGCCUAUUGCCACAAAGCUCCGGUGGGAUGUGGACAUGGCUGGAGUAGGGCGCGGUCUGGG
rnacentral:lncRNA from 1 species